rnacentral:rRNA from 1 species
AUUGAACGCUGGCGGCAGGCCUAACACAUGCAAGUCGAGCGAGCGGCGGACGGGUGAGUAAUGUAUGGGGACUGCCCGCUAGAGGGGGAUAACAACUGGAAACGGUGUCUAAUACCGCGUACUGUCGCAUUACCCAUAUGGGAUUAGCUAGUAGGUAAGGUAAUGGCUUACCUAGGCGACGAUCCCUCGCUGGUCUGAGAGGAUGAUCAGCCACACUGGGACUGAGACACGGCCCAGACUCCUACGGAGGCAGCAGUGGGGAAUAUUGCACAAUGGGCGCAAGCCUGAUGCAGCCAUGCCGCGUGUAUGAAGAAGGCCCUAGGGUUGUAAAGUACUUUCAGUCGGGAGGCGUUACCGACAGAAGAAGCACCGGCUAACUCCGUGCCAGCAGCCGCGGUAAUAC